AUGUGUAAAGUAAGAAUAUUUGAUUUUUGUAGAAUAUUAGUAAAACAUUUCCUGUACAGUUAUUGUCCAGAUUUCUUUAUCAAAUAGCUUUUAUUCCGGUUAGAAGUUUAAUACUGUGAAUGUUAGUCUAUAGGUGAACUAAAAUUGUGUCAACUGGGAAGACGGCAGUAAUUUCCUCUGUCUAUUAUCCACCUUUAACCGGGCUGAUUUAACCAAAUCGAAUUGUGCCCUUCACAUAAUGCAUUCACCAGACUACCACAACCAUAGUCUUAUUAAUUACCCCACUGCUAAAGCCAACCACAAAUCAAACCUGGUCCUAAUCCCAAAGUGGUCUUCACAAAGAUUUUAACGAACAGAUUAUGAAAGGCGUUUUUUUUGUACAAAGACCACAAUUUAACAAAAGUAUUUGUGCUUUACUCAACGCUUCUUAAAGAACAUUAUGAGAAGACGCAGCGAGAUCAUCAGAAUAACUUCUUACCUUCUGGAGGUUGAAACUGCUGCCAUUGCCCUCGCUGCCAGUAUCACAGUGAGUACCAGUCGUGUAGACCCUUUCACUUUCACAUUCACGCAGAGUAUCACAAGGCACAUAACUUGACACAUUGAAUCAUUAGUCACUACAGCUAAAUCGGGCUCUUAUGUGUGUACCCUGGGUAUGAAGGGCAGCAUUUAAUUUCCUUUUUCAUCCUUUCUAAAUCGUAUUCCACUUUCCUUUUCCAUUUUUACACCCUGACAAAAAAAAAAAGAGAAGGAAAAGGUAAAAUGUGACGGCAUCAAGUUUUAAAGACAUGUGUGUCAUAGUGUGUCAAGAAGUGUAAUCCAGAAAAACUAAGGAAAUCUAGAGGAAGUGUCUUGUCUUCCUUUGAACUCUCUGGCUUUCCCCUCAUUGUUCAUUGACCAGCUCAAAGCCCGGUUUAUGGUCGGUUUAUCAGGGUGAGGGGGAUUUAACCCGUGCCAACAACCAAAAACAUGCAUAGCCUGCGGAUUGGCUUCAAUCAAGAGUGUGCGCACAGUUGACCUUUAAGCUUAAUUUUACUGAAGAACUGUGUGUUAUUCAGGUCCAUAUUUAUCAUUUUACUCUCCCCUAAACCAAAUGUUCAAUUUGACACAAUGUGCAAUUGUCUAUCUUUUAAAAUGACUGCGCAGACACUGAAGUAAUCCAUCUGCUUUUACUUUGUUGAUUUUUUCCAGUUGAACCACAUAAGACACAAAAAAACACCCAAGGGUUACAACCCGUCCCUUAAAAUACGCAAUCGCCCCGUAUUUAAGAAUAAAAAAGCGCGUCCCGUUUUGAAUCAAUACAGGACGGGGUUUGUCCUGCAUUUUCCGAGUUGUCGUCAACGCAGCAUCCCGUACAAAAAAUCCCACCCGAAUUCUGUGAAGUCUCGUCCCAUUCUGCCCCCUGAUGGGGUAAUACUCGCCGGAAUCGUUGGUUUGAUUGGCCAUGAACCUGAAACAAACCAAUCAGAGCCAGAGGAGGGCGGGUCUCUUGGCGGAGUGUCGAGUUGUAAGAAUGGCAGAGGCAGCUAUAUAUAUACCCCCCGACCCCCCCGGAUACCCUCCAGACACCCCCCCCCGCGUCUAGCUCUGAACCGAAAGCGGAUGCAAAAGUACCAACGAGAGUGGGAGGAAUCACCGGGGGAUCAGUCGCCCCCCCUCCGGCGGCCGUAGAGUUAUUCUGUAUUAAACACCCACACAGUGUAGUCAUCAACCAUAAUGGGUCAACAUUGGAUUUGGGAAUUAACACAUGACUUCAAGAGGUUUUUUUGCAAUGUAUGUUGGUUAAUGUUAGCAAACCCUGUUUUAAAGGGUUAUACAGGUAUACAAAUGUGCUAAUGUUAUACAUAUAUAUACACAUGUAUAAAUUGAUAUGUACUUUACUUGAGUAUUUCUAUUGUAUCCACAUGCACAAUCGUACACUACAUCUAAAAGACAAAUGUUGUAUUUUUUUCUGAACUGUAUUUGUUUAUCAGCAUCAGUUCAUUUUCAUAUCGCAAUUUAUUCAUUCCCGUCUUUCGUCCCCGUAUAAAAUGGAAAUACUCAAGUCAAGUACCACACGUUGUGCUUAUGUUUAUUAUGCCACUCAGGCGCCAUCUGCUGGACAUUAAGGGAAGUAUUAAAAGUACUGAGCCGUCUGUUCUGUCUGAACUCUUCUUAAAAAACUAAUCGAAUCCCCUAUCCAUGUGUAUUAACCGAAAUGAUGUCAAACAGUAGCAACUGUGUACAAAAUCUGUAAUUCUGUACACCAUAUUCUUUGAUCAGACCGAUGAUUGAUGAAACAAUAUAACAAUAUAAUCUGUCACCCUUUGUGGGAUGUUUUUGAGUCUGCAAUGGUCCUUCGUUGAAUCUUCCCGUUCUCUGUUGUUGGGAUUCAGGCUCUUCCAGACGCCGAUACCUGCACUUAAAAAUAAUUUACUUUGGGUAUUCCCAUAAUAUUACUUCUGUUUUCACUCAUGUCUACAUUUUUCUGAACUGCAAGCGUUUGACAUUAGUCAACUUGUUGAUUAAGAUUCCCCAUGAAUAAACUCAUGAUCCCCGUAUAAAAUACCCUGCAUUGUCACAGACUCUCUUCUCUCUGCUAUUUAAAACAAAAAACACUGUAUAAUAAAAUAACACCAAGAUAUCCUAUGACACGCCUGUUCUGUUCCCUAUUUUGAAUGCAAGACUUUCAAAUUUCAUUGUGCAUUUUGAUGUAAUUCAUCUUUGUCUUACAGAAAGAAUAUGAACACUUCUUCUCCCAAUGGGCUUUUUCACAUAACACGAGGAAAAGGAGUUAUUUACACAUAGCAAGCACCAGGUGGCAUCCUAACUUAGUCCAUAAAUACACAAUGCUGCAGGAGGCCAUGGCUGCCGUCAGGAAUGUGGCUCUCCAACUGCUACACUCAUGUUACUAUUUCCCAUGAUCCAAUCACUCCUUUUUAACAGGUACAAAGCACAACGUCCUCAACGUGUUGAUCUCCGCUUUUUAAAAUUUUUUUCACAUAAACCUUAUACAUUCACCAGUAAACAUGGCACGAGUUCAAGGAAGCAGUUUAUUUAUGACGUGAGCGCGUCCUGCCGUGAUUAUUAACUCGGAGGUGUGGCUGCCAUUUGAACGCUGUAAAAGUGUAUAAUGUAAUGCUGAAGGAAGGAAGGUUUGCACUGCAACCAUCACUAACGAUCAUCAUCCGUGAAAUCAUUAAAAGCGAGCAAUAACAUCAGCAGCAAAGGCUCGACGUGAGGCACCGCCGGUAUUCGGUCUUCGGCGUGUGAAAGCAGGUAAAGCCGGCGCCUUGCUGAUCACACUCUUGUGGUAUUUUAGGAAGGAGGGUGUCAGAAUACCUCCCCGGGGAGCAAUAACACUUGUGUGAAUUAUCUGCGUUGUCUUUCUCCUCUGCAUGGCUUCCCUCUGCGGGUGACUGGUUCCACUGUUGCUACGGAUUGAGACGGUUGGAGAAGGGAUGAGAUUCUUCCUGCAUGGCAGACUGAGGGUUGGUCCACUGUGGAAUGAAAAGAUGUGAUCAUGCAGGAAAUAAAUGCAACGUCACUGGCAAGAA